rnacentral:lncRNA from 1 species
GUGGGUUCUUUAUCAGAGUUUAUAUCAACCAAUUAGAGAGUGUGAACCAAACUACCAAAGAAUCCUAAUUUGCACUAGGAUGCCAAAAACUGACGAGACACCAAUUGAUUCGUGUUGCACCGAGGAAGAAGUUGUGCACACGUUUAAAUCCUACUAACACAAGAAACAAGAAGGUGUUAGAUAACGUAAAGGAAGAAUAAAGGUAAACAAAUGAAAACCUACAGCUAA